UACGGGGGGGGCAAGCGUUGUUCGGAAUUACUGGGCGUAAAGGGCUCGUAGGUGGCCAACUAAGUCAUACGUGAAAUCCCUCAGCUUAACUGGGGAACUGCGUCUGAUACUGGAUGGCUUGAGUUUGGGAGAGGGAUGCGGAAUUCCAGGUGUAGCGGUGAAAUGCGUAGAUAUCUGGAGGAAUACCGGUGGCGAAGGCGGCAUCCUGGACCGGCAUUGACGCUGAGUGAGCGAAAGCCAGGGGAGCAAACGGG
rnacentral:rRNA from 1 species